rnacentral:rRNA from 1 species
ACGAACUGUGCAAACGUUAUUCGGAAUCACUGGGCUUAAAGGGUGCGUAGGCGGACUUAAAGGUCUGAUGUGAAAGCCCACGGCUCAACCGUGGAAUUGCGUUGGAAACCAUAAGUCUUGAGGAGAUCAGAGGUAAGCGGAACUGAUGGUGGAGCGGUGAAAUGCGUUGAUAUCAUCAGGAACACCGGUGGCGAAAGCGGCUUGCUGGGAUCUUUCUGACGCUGAGGCACGAAAGCUAGGGGAGCGAACGGG